GACUGCUGGAAGGUGGAGACAUCCUAAAACCUCAUCCUGCCUGGACACUUCACUCCAGGAUGGGAUUUGAGUUUCUCUUGUUCUCUCCAUGAAGAAAGUGGGCAGGCCAACCCCCUCCUGCCCUGGAUUCAAGCAUGGACUUAGUGCUCCAAGGAAGGGUUUUUUCCUCCCUCUCACCCUCACAAAGAGAGAGGCAGCAGAUUAAAAUGCUUCUCUUCCCUUGGCAUCGCUCCACACAGCUUCGUGGCUGCUUGGCAGGAGAUUGGGAUGUGAAUGAACCACGGCAGCUUACUCUUGUCUGGACUGGAGGAAUGACAUCGUCUGACGCAGUGAGCUGUCUGAGGUGGUCCUUGCCUCCGGGAGAGCUAAACUCGCACCCCCCACGCUCCUUAGCUUCCGCUCCCCUUCAGCCCUGGCCGUGUUCACAGCGCCUGUGAUGGACCCCCCUCUCCCCAAGCUGGGACUGCAGUAUGUGAGCAGUUAGUUAUUCACACUCUCUGGGGUUCAGCCCUGCGUGUUCCUCUCCUCUAGGCAUUUCGAGUGGCGGAGGAGGAGCUGGGGAUUCCAGCCUUGCUGGAUGCAGAGGAUAUGGUUGCUCUGAGGGUACCAGACAGGCUGAGCAUCCUCACCUAUGUUUCCCAGUAUUAUAACUACUUCCAUGGACGGUCUCCUAUUGGAGGCAUGGCUGGAAUCAAGCGUCCUUCCUCUGAACCUCAGGAGCAGCCUCUUGGGAAGAAAGCUGUUGCAGAGCCUCCUAAGCCAGUGCCACCAAAACUGCCACCUGCUCACCCACCAGCCAGAGCUAAGCCAAAAGAAACAUCCCCAGUCACCACGAAAAGGGUCCUGGCAGAGAGUGGGAAUAUCCCUAGCAGCAGUUGUGGGAUCUGUAGGAACCAUGUGCACCUGGUGCAGCGCUACUUGGUUGAUGGGAAGCUCUAUCACAGGAACUGCUUCAGGUGCAGGCAGUGUUGGAACGUGCUUCUUCCUGGAAGCUACAAAGCUGGGCCCGAGCCCGGUACGUUCAUCUGUACCAGCCACCAGCAGCCAGACAAUGUCCAGAUCUCUGGUCUCCGCAGCACCGGCAACAAACCUGAGAGUACCCCAGCCCCUACUGCUGCCAGGGCAUUCCAGAAAGCAGCAGAACCCAAGAAACCGGAGCAGGUGUUGAAGAAACCCAGCCAGGAAGGCCUUGCUAAUUCAACCAAGCCAUCUGUUUCAUCUUCUGGAAGCUCUGGCUUCAGAAGUGUAAAUACUCCAUGGUCCUGUUCAGCUGUAAAUAAAUCAGAUGACUGCAAAGGUACCCCGUUGGGAAAUAAAACAGAUCACCAUGAAGGUACCCCAUCAGGGCCUUUUUGGACAACCUCCACAGCAAAAACACAGCAAGCCCGAGAAAUUUUUUUGCGGUCAUUAGAGUCCUCCAGCAAUAAAACCUCUGACACUAAAACCCAAGUCACUACUUCUCAUGGCCGUGGUAAAACUGCCUCUGCCAGAACAACUACUGAGGUCAGUCCAGUGAAUGCUGAGAAGGAUCAGGCACGUAACAAUAUUAUACAGGCUCUGGCUGGAUCAAACACCUCUCCAAACAGGCCAGGGGGACUCAGUUCCACUGGCUUGUCAGCGUUCAGCAGUGGCAAGUUUUCUCCCACCAGUUCUCAGUGGCAGAGUCCAGCUCCAAAAGUACAGUCCAGCAAAACAGGGUACACAGCACUAAAACAAGAAAAGAUUACAGACCCCCUGCCCAAGAGCCAGGCCGCCAGCAAACCUGUUGACCCUGUGCACAAGCCAGAGUCAAAAGGCAUCAAAGGAAGCGUGAAUGUUGGUGAAGACAAGUCUGAGUGCCCAGCUGAGUGGAGAUCUCGGCUGAAGCCUGUAGCCAACAAAGACCAAGGUGGCUCUAAGAAACCUACUGAUAACUCCCAGGUGGGAACAGGGAGCCCAGCACACAAGGAGACAAAGCCAAGUCCCUUAGUUGUCCCAUCAGGAAAGCAGGACUCUGCUUCAUCUGGUGGAUUCAUGAAGAAGAAGUUGAUCCCCAGCUCAGAUCCUGUCAGGAGCUGUCAGAAUUCAAAGCACGGCUGGGAAGACCCUGGGGGCUCUGCCAAGAAGGAGGAAGAGGGCAACCAGUUGAAGAAAAGCACUAUCACAUUUAAACCCUCUAUUCCAAAAAGCACCCAGAGCCCUGAAGCAGUGUCCCCAACCAAGCUGCACCCGGACUACCUCCCUGAGGAGGAAAUCCAGGAGAAGGUGUGUGAUAUCGAGAAGCAGCUGGAUGAGCUGGAAUUGAAAGGAGUGGAUCUGGAGAAGCAGCUGCGUGGCUGUGAAGGAGAUGAGUCUGAGGAUGCCCUCAUGGUGGAUUGGUUCAAACUGAUCCAUGAGAAACAGCUGCUGCUCAGACAGGAAUCAGAGCUGAUGUACAAGAUGAAACAGCAGAAGCUGGAGGAGCAGCAGUGGAACAUUGAGAUGGAGCUGAGACACCUCAUGAGCAAGCCAGAGGAACUGAAGUCAUCCAUGGAGAAGAAGCGAGAGAAGGAGCUGCUGGAGUCAUACCUAAACACGGUCAAUGAUCGGAAUAGUAUUGUGGAGUGCCUGGAUGAGGACAGACUCAGAGAGCGAGAGGAGGACCAGAUGUUGGCAGACAUGAUCCAGAGGUUGGAUGGAUCUCUUGAGAGCCAGGAGCCAGAGAAGAAGAAGAACAAGUUCCGCUUGUCCAAAAUAUGGAAGCAGAAAAAUAAGAGUAAGGCUCAGGAGUGAUGUUCCUUUGCCCAAUGGCCCAGAGAGGGCUAUCAAAGGUAUGUUCCUUCCUCACUGCUGCUUUCUUGGAGUCAUGCAGGACUGUGAUGAGGCUCCUCUGCUCCCUGACAUGGAGACUGCAGGUUUGCGGACCAAAGGGACAGUGUGAGUCCCCUCUGGCCCUGGUAUGGGGUCCAAGCAUACUUUUCGCAGAAGAUGGACUUUUAAGACUGUUUUCCUUCUUUGGAUCUAGCUCAGUGCUGGCUGCAGCCUCGUUGGCAGCUCAGGAGGGCAGAGCUCAAUUUGCCCAUCCGCUGCUCGGGUCAUUCCAGUCCUGAAUGCAGGAGCAUGGCACUGCAUGUCGCCCCACGGUGCCCCACUCAUGUCAGCCAGGGGUGCACCAAGGAUGCUGCGCUGGUCUGCGAAAGGGCCAUUCUCCCUCCCUUCCUCCUUCUCUGCAUGUGCUGUGGCUCUUUGGCCGGGAUCAGAGAUGCAGAGAGGGAGGUGCUAUGGGACAACAGAGAUCGAGGGUCUCCCCGUUAUUACACCAAUGCAAACUGGAGCUGCAGGCCCCACAGCUGGGGUGAGGCAGGGAGCAGAACCACCUCUGUAUCUAUGGGGUGGGAUGUCCUAGACCCAGAGCGGUUUCAGCAAUAGUGCUCUAUUUCCAAACCUCCUUUUGGGAGUUGCUGUAGGCUGUUUUCUCAAAGCCAUGAGGGUUGCUCACUGCUUCAUUCCCUCUAUGGGGGAGCUUCCUUAUUUCUCUGACUGCACAGCAAAGCAGGGUUUUCAUUGUCUGUGGCCGAUCCUGCUGAAAAUGAACAGAAGUCUUGUUUUAACAACCUGGUGCUAACUGGGAGCAGAAGGGAAUUAAUGGGUUGGCCUUACCCAUGAGUCUUCUGCGUGGGACCAACAUUUCAAUUCCUGAGGCUCCGUCCCUGGACAGCCAGCGCCCUCAAGGGGUGCUGUGGUUCAUCUUGGUGAGACCAGGAGAGUAAGAGCAGGUCCUGAGCUGUUGGCAGCGAGUCUCUCUACUCUUCCCUCGGUCCAGUGACUGCAGCCAGACACUUGCCCUGUGUGGCAGCAUCCUCUCUUCCCAGUCAACCUGGGGAGCAGAAAUGGAGACAGACAGGGAAAGAUCAGACUAAUUCAUGAUGCCUCUAGCUCCGGUAUGUGUGGACUUCCCUCCUCCCUCCAAGCCAGGUACUUUGAGGUUUCUCUGGGUCCUGUUCUCCAGCAGGGCCUCGGAUUUUGCACGGAGGAGGUUUGCUGCCCGCUGUGCCCUGUGGCGAAGCAGAGGCGAUGCGUCCCUUACCCACGAGGUGGCAGUGGGACUCUCUGUCCCAAGCAGCCCGCCCCGGGCACCGCAGGGGUGUGCUCGGUGAGGUACCAAGUGCCCGAGGGGGUUCCUGGUGCCCACAGUGUGUGCCAUGUGUGUACGUGUGGUGGGGCACCCUGUACCUGCCUACGCUUUUUUCCAAUAAAGAAUUGCUGGAGCAAAUCUCGGAGUCCCAGUUCGAGUUUGGAUGUGGGUUACUGGGUGUGGGCUGCCCGGGUCGCUGUGAGCAGUGACGAUCCCUCUCCGGAGCUGUGAGUGGUAGCAGGAGCUUGGCGUACCUGUGAUGGAGAGGCUCCCCUGCCCAGAGCUCGCAGACCAGCUGCAGGUCCUGGGAGAGCAGCAGUGCCAAGGGGUUUCUCAGUGAUUUCGUUUACAUGUCAAACUCCCCCUUGCUCUCAGGUAAGUGUAUUUUCCCCCUUGCUGCUUUAGCAUCACACACGUCCCCAAGCCUUGUGAGAUCCCAGCCUAGCCAGCAGUCUGGGGGAAGAUGUGAGGCAGAGCUUGUUCUGCUGUAGUUGUAUGUGGCAUUGGUGACCCAAAUGGCUGAACCGAAAUUUCAUCAGGUAAAACGCUGAUGGAAGCACUGUCGCCACACUCUGCUCCGUGUUGGCCCAUGCUUGCCCAGAGGGGAAGACGAGCUGUUUUUGGGAGACAUGCUGACCACAGGGGCUGGUGUGCUGUGCCUUGCCAUCCAGGUCUGCUUGUCAGGAAGGUCUUUCUUUCCUGGGGAUGUGUGUAAACAUGCGGGGAGGAAGGAGGGCCCCUCUUCCAGACUUGGGCGUUAGCAGCAGAUCCCCAGAAUUAAACUUGCCUGUGUGGAUUGCCAGCUGAGAGGGAGGGAGCUGAAGCCACCUCUGCUGAAGGAGAGAAAUACCCUUCCUAAUAAGCAGGUCCCCCUCCUCCAGCUAUCCCAGGCUGUUAUUAUUGCUGGGCUUUCAUCUUUUCAGGCUCAGAUUCUCCAACCUCGAGAAGUUUAGGCUGUGUGUAUUUGGGGGUGGCAGCAUUGCCCAAACUCAUCCAAUCCUUCCCUCUCCAGGAGGCACAGCGCAGUUUAACCUUUGCCCACCUUGAAGGCAGGCAGGAGAUGUGUCUAUGCAGGAACGUGAUCACAAGAUGCUUAAGCAACAACCCCGGGGGCCCUGCAGUGGCAAUGCGUGCGUGGUUUGACCUGCUGUAGGGUUUGCUUUAGUGAGAAGGCCAACUGCUGCCAGAAAGCAGGCACUCGUUACACCUAGAUACGUGCUUACCCGCCUGCAAGAUGAGGUUUUGAAGGGAAAACUCUGCUGCUUCUCCCAUCUGGAGUCUGUUGGAGAUGAUAACCAUGGUCUAGGGGAUAUGAGGCUCACCUGGAAAUGCUGUGUGGCUUUAAAAGGUUUACAUGGUCUCUAGGUAGAGAAAUAUUGAGAACGAGAGUGGAGACAGGGCCCCAGCCUUCCUCGCCAUGCCACCGGGAACGGGAGGUUAUGCGCUGGUGUGAGGCUGACUUCAAGACUGACUUCAAUUAUUUUCUACACCAAAGAUGAGCGGAUAAAUAGUGGAGUAGUCAUCCAAAUGCAUCCUGCCCAGAGACCCGAACUCUUUUCUGUACUGAUGGAGCGCUGUCUGGUUGUGGCCAGGGUCUACUAGUACCAAGCCCCGUACAGCGUGCCGCAGCCCCACAGCUCCUGCACGCCCAGACAACUGCUGAUUGUGAACAUGAGGACAACCCAGCUUGUUCCUCCUUCCUCUACCUUGAAUUUGGGACUCAAAGGAUUUGCAUUUCCACCACUCUCCUAAUCCAAGGCUUCAAAUGAGCCCUAGAUGAACUAAGCCGUUGGCUAAGGUGGAGAAAGGGAAUGGCUUUUUUCCAGCUGGCUGCUUUCAGCUGAGCCGAUUCCCUGGCCUGACCCCCAUUUGCUCUCCCGGUGCAAGCAGCUUUGCUCACCCCAUGGAAGUGCUCCGGGAGGUGAAGAGGGAGGAUUUGGCCUUGGGACUGAGUGGGGAGGGAGGUGUUGGGAAACCAGCCCUCGGCUGCCUGUGCAUAGCGGUCACCCUUGAGUAAUUAGUCAAUCCAGGCACCCUCCUGUAACCGAACAGGAAUCGAAUUCCUCUCCAUUCUCUGCGGGAAAGAACUGUUUGUGCUCCGCUCCAGCCCCAUCAGACGCCGAGCCCCAAGGUCAGGCUAGCAGGGGGUUGACUGAUAUGUUGCUGUGUGCAUGUGGGUGUCUGCAAUUCGGUGAUGACUGAGAGCUUAAUUACUCUUCUAGGUCAGCUGCUCCACUUCCAAAAUGGUUUUAAGGGGGCUGAGCUUCCUGCUCAUUUCCUGAUGGCCUCCAGUUGGGUUCGUGGCCUCGCCAGCUCCUGGAUACCGGGAAUGCUGCCACUGCUUUCUUUGUAGCUAAGAGGAGCAUGGGGGGCUGUACAGGGCCUGGGGGCUGCACCCCUGAGCCUCUGCCAUUUAGGAGGCUCUUGGGGGUCCUUCUGCAGGCUUGGGGUGACGGGGAGGCUGCUGUCUGCUCCAGCACUUCAAGGCUUGCAGAUGAAGCUGUGAUUAGGCAGUGUGUGUAUGUCUCUCUCUUCUGCCGUUUUCUUUAAUUACAAUCUCGGAGGUAAUUUCUGACGCAUCAUUAACAGUUCUGAGUAAACAAGGGGAAUUCUCCAAAUUAUUCGCCAUGAGCACAAAGGGAAAUUGGCUUUCAUCAUCUCCCUCUUCAUCCAAGGAAGAAGCUGAUCUGCAGUAGGCACGGGGAGGAAGGGAGCAUCGUGGCUGCCCUCGGAUGCCUCGAGUCAACAUCAGAUGGAGCAGCAACCCAUCCAGUUUAUCCAGCUGACUGAGAGGCCAGCUCUGCCUGCAGCUUUUUGUCCCUGCUGCUGAGCUAAGUGGCUGGGGCUUGUCACGGUCGCGACUGUAAAUGCAAAGCGCCUCUUGCCUAUGAGAUCUUUGGGUGCUGCUUUUGAGUGUUCACCUCCUGUUUCCAGCUGGAUGAAAUGGUACCCAGGCUGCUCAGGAGACAGGACAGACCAAAAGCAUCCUCAGGGCCGUGUCUCGGCAUUGAAGGUGAUGCCCCGAUCCUUGGCUGUUGGGGUGAAGGGUGAUGCCUGAGGCCAGCAUGGGGUUGCGAAGGGAAGGAAGGAGCGCUGAUAUGGAGGUACUUGGGGCCUGCGAAACUAGGUUUGGUCCAAAGCGAGAACUCGGAGGGAUGCUGGUGUGCCCUGUGAAAGCAGCAAAUAUGCCUGGCGGCUGGGGUGAGAGGAGGUGGCUGGAGAGGACCCCUUUGCUGGGAGUCCAUGGGAGGACAUUCCAGCCUCGUGCAGGGCUCGAGGGAAAGGGGCUUCGUUAGAGGGGUGGCACACGGAGCUCAGACGAAGCAGUUGCAUCCCUUGGAGCACCCGCACACCCCCCACCCCGUGCACGACACUGACAGCCCCUUCACCCACACUCCGGCACAGUGGCAAAGCGUCUGCGGCAGCAACCAGGGGAGCGAAGGUUAUUUAUAUUCAUGUUGCAGCUCUGCCAGCCGUGACUCUGUUAUCUGCCAUGCAUGAAUAUUAUUUGAAUACAGAGUUUGUCGUGACUAUUCUUCCGCGUGAAACGAGGGAUUUGCUGUGGGAUGGGAGCCCUCCCUCCGGCUGUCAGUCAGGAAGGGUUUCCUUUUCCUGUCUCGUUGGAAGCCGCGUCCCCAGCAAGGUGAGACAGUGGACACUUUUUCUCUUGUUAAUAUCCAUGUCUAAUCUCCUCUCAGAGGGGCCCUUUGUCCUAGACUGUAGCCAAGAUGAGUAAUUCAGGGAUAGAUGAGACGCUAUAAUUGGUUUGUGACAAAUUAAAACAUUUUUCCUUCGGAGCUGAGAGCAGGACUGUGGUCUGGAGCUGUCAAGCGUCACAGGGGAGGGCGAUUUUUGGAGUAAGCGCAUUGCAAAUUGGCUCCAGAUACGCCUUGGAGUCUGAAAUUAAACUCCAGCUGGUGACUCUUCUCAGCUGGGGUUUUAUUUUAGGGGGGGACAAAGGGAACAUGUGCAGGGAGGGACAGCCUGAUCGAUAAAAAGAACGUGACUUUUUUUUUCACCGUGCAGUGAGCUGGGGACUGGCGUGAGCCGUGGCGGGGAUGCUGGGGAGCACCCAGAAGCAUGAUGAGAGUGAGCGGGCCAGGAGCUGGAGCCCACCAUUGCCUACCUUUCCUCCACGCUGCUAUCAAUGGUUCCUCCAUCACAUCCCAGCAAGGAAGGACCAUGAUGGAAAGUUGCAGCUCACACCAUCUCUUCCCUUGGUCGUGAGUGAGUGCCAGGGUUCCUGUUGUAGGGAUUGCACCAAGAUGACAAACUAGAGAGGUUUGAAAAAUGGAAACACAAUCCCCUGACUCCAGGAGCUCAGACUUAAAUAACAAAUACCUCAGGAUGCACUUGUGAGUGCUGAUGGAGCAGCUGACUCGGCGAGCAUGGAGGUGAACAACUCCAGAGCCCCGCAGAGCCCCGCAGUCCUGAUUUGCUGAACCCAGCGGAAUAAAUUCCUGUGUAGGAUGAUCCAUGUGCAUGGGCCCCCGCACGAUCAGGGCCAAUGUUUGCGAAGUGCUGUGAGAUGCUUGGAUGAAAGGGAGUACAGAAGCGCAAAGUAUUACUUUUUCAUGAUUACUGCAAUUGCUAUCCUUGGGGCUGUCCAAAUGUUGUUGUUCCAAGUGAAAAUAUAAAACCCUUUUGGCAUGUUUC